rnacentral:rRNA from 1 species
UACGAAGGGGGCUAGCGUUGCUCGGAAUCACUGGGCGUAAAGGGCGCGUAGGCGGACUCUUAAGUCGGGGGUGAAAGCCCAGGGCUCAACCUUGGAAUUGCCUUUGAUACUGGCUGUCUUGAGUUCGGGAGAGGUGAGUGGAAUGCCGAGUGUAGAGGUGAAAUUCGUAGAUAUUCGGCGGAACACCAGUGGCGAAGGCGACUCACUGGCCCGAUACUGACGCUGAGGCGCGAAAGCGUGGGGAGCAAACAGG